GGGGAUGUUUUGGUUUUGACAGCAUUCACAAUCUGGAAGUAAGCACGCCGAGCGUUGUAUCACCGGCUCGUAAAUCCCGGAAUACAAGCCAUAACUGGCAACAACAACUAUGCACUCGCUGCGUAAUUAAGCUUAGCUUAAUCGCUUAAUCGCCGCCGGCCAGGUCCGGCCCCGACGAGUAUCCCGCCGGGCUUUGCGCCCUCUAUGACCGGUAUAUGGGGUAUCAUUAAAGAGCGGAUGCGGGGGAGGACUCCUUUAAUGCCCCUUAAGUAAUCAAAGGAUAAGUUGUGAAUGGCCUGCCUCCCGGCAGUUCACAAACGAAAACCGAAGAGAGGAUAAGCGCGUAGAAAGCUUUUGGAUGGUUUGUUUGGACGGCGGUUCGAGUCCGCCCAUCUCCAC
rnacentral:tmRNA from 1 species